UACAGAGGUCCCGAGCGUUGUUCGGAAUUACUGGGCGUAAAGGGCUCGUAGGCGGCCAACUAAGUCAGACGUGAAAUCCCUCGGCUUAACCGGGGAACUGCGUCUGAGACUGGAUGGUUCGAGUGUGGGAGAGGGAUGCGGAAUUCCAGGUGUAGCGGUGAAAUGCGCAGAUAUCAGGAGGAACACCGGUGGCGAAGGCGGUUCUCUGGGCAUUACCUGACGCUGAGGAGCGAAAGUGUGGGGAGCGAACAGG
rnacentral:rRNA from 1 species